CAACUCUCAACAAACAUUUGACAUCUCUCCUCAAAUCACUCCCAAAUCCCAACCCUUCUCGCAUUUGUUCUCUUUCACACUUGGGUGUUCUAUUCUUCCAGCUUGCACUCUUCUCACAGACUUACCAUUAUCAUUAUUUUUCUCAUUGAAAGCAUUCUUGAAUGUUAAUCUUCGUGGUGGGUUUCUCUGACGACAUGACAGUUUUCAGUACUGUAUUCAUGGAGUUUUGAAGACGACGAAGAGCGAAUCUUGUGCAGAGGAAUCGGAUUCAUUAAAGGUUAAAUAUCACUGUCUUUAGCUUAUUCUUCUUGGGGUUUCUUCUGCAUUCAAGCUUGCCUCCAUGAUCAGAUCAUGGGUUUG